rnacentral:rRNA from 1 species
GCAGUCGAGCGACGGACGAGAAGCUUGCUUCUCUGAUGUUAGCGGCGGACGGGUGAGUAACACGUGGAUAACCUACCUAUAAGACUGGGAUAACUUCGGGAAACCGGAGCUAAUACCGGAUAAUAUUUUGAACCGCAUGGUUCAAAAGUGAAAGACGGUCUUGCUGUCACUUAUAGAUGGAUCCGCGCUGCAUUAGCUAGUUGGUAAGGUAACGGCUUACCAAGGCAACGAUGCAUAGCCGACCUGAGAGGGUGAUCGGCCACACUGGAACUGAGACACGGUCCAGACUAAUACGGGAGGCAGCAGUAGGGAAUCUUCCGCAAUGGGCGAAAGCCUGACGGAGCAACGCCGCGUGAGUGAUGAAGGUCUUCGGAUCGUAAAACUCUGUUAUUAGGGAAGAACAUAUGUGUAAGUAACUGUGCACAUCUUGACGGUACCUAAUCAGAAAGCCACGGCUAACUACGUGCCAGCAGCCGCGGUAAUACGUAGGUGGCAAGCGUUAUCCGGAAUUAUUGGGCGUAAAGCGCGCGUAGGCGGUUUUUUAAGUCUGAUGUGAAAGCCCACGGCUCAACCGUGGAGGGUCAUUGGAAACUGGAAAACUUGAGUGCAGAAGAGGAAAGUGGAAUUCCAUGUGUAGCGGUGAAAUGCGCAGAGAUAUGGAGGAACACCAGUGGCGAAGGCGACUUUCUGGUCUGUAACUGACGCUGAUGUGCGAAAGCGUGGGGAUCAAACAGGAUUAGAUACCCUGGUAGUCCACGCCGUAAACGAUGAGUGCUAAGUGUUAGGGGGUUUCCGCCCCUUAGUGCUGCAGCUAACGCAUUAAGCACUCCGCCUGGGGAGUACGACCGCAAGGUUGAAACUCAAAGGAAUUGACGGGGACCCGCACAAGCGGUGUACCAUGUGGUUUAAUUCGAAACAAC